AUUGAACGCUGGCGGCAGGCCUAACACAUGCAAGUCGAACGAGUGGCGGACGGGUGAGUAAUGUCUGGGAAACUGCCCGAUGGAGGGGGAUAACUACUGGAAACGGUAGCUAAUACCGCAUACCAUCGGAUGUGCCCAGAUGGGAUUAGCUAGUAGGUGGGGUAACGGCUAACCUAGGCGACGAUCCCUAGCUGGUCUGAGCGGAUGACCGGCCACCCUGGAACUGGGACACGGCCCAGAUGCGUACGGGAGGCAGCAGUGGGGAAUAUUGAACAAUGGGGGCAAGCCGGACGCAGCAAUGCCGCGUGUAGGAAGAAGGCCUUCGGGUUGUAAAGUAUUUUCAGCGAGGAGGCGUUACUCGCAGAAGAAGCACCGGCUAACUCCGUGCCAGCAGCCGCGGUAAUUC
rnacentral:rRNA from 1 species